CGUCCUGCUCAUGGAGUAGCGGCGCCGUGCAGCGGCUGUGGUGCAGAGUAGGUUCCAGGCAGACCAGAUCCAGCUCGGUUGGUCCUGACCUUGCGCGCGGCGGUGCGAGGCGGUCAGUUUGGCGUGGUGUUUGCCCAGUUUCGGCGCGCUGCGGUGCGAGCCGGCUAAGCUCGGUUCAAUUCUCGGCUCUUCCGGUGCGCUGCGGUGCGGAUCCUCGCCCAGGUUCUACGCACGGAGGCAGGGGAUGGCCGGAUCUGGUUUGGCUCGCCCAAGUCUGCGUGCGGCGGGGCGGCCCAGCCAGGUUGGCUCGUGUUCGCCGAGUUUCUGCGAGCGGCAGUGGCAAGUCCGUUCCUGGUAGUGUGUGCAUGGCCUUGCUCUGUCCGGUGGCGCUGAUUGGCCUCAGAUCCAGUUUGGUGGAAGAUUCAGCUUCGGAUGAAAAUCCGCAUUGAUCUUGUCAGUGCCGACGGUAGCGGCGUCUGCGGACGUCGUCUUCCUCCUUGGAGGUAUCGCCGUGGAGCUCGUUUGCUCUUCUUACCUCAUAGCUUGCGGUCUCCGGGUGAAAACCUAACAUUUGGCUUAGCCAGAUCGGGUAACGGUGUUGUCCUCGACAUCACUUUCUCCUUGGAGGCGUUACCUUGGAGACCCAAUGAUGGAUUUCGUUGGUGUGCAUGUCUUGUUUGGUGGUACUUGGGUUUGUGAUGGUGUCGGCAUUUCUCUUUCUUUUCUUUUUGCAUCAGCCCUUGCUGUGCUUUCCUCUCCGGAGGGCUCUUGUUACACUUCUUCUGAUCAAUGAAUUUGGCAGCUCUACUGCCAACGUUCUAAAAAAAGUAAAUUUACCGGUGGAGGGAUCUACCGGUGAGAAAUCCACCAUCCCUCGGUGCUUCUAGAUUCGUGCUGAUGGCCCCACUAAAUAUUUAUUCUCCAGUCCGAUUCCAGCAUACGAGAUUUAGACCUCUUUCAAUGCAAAGGUGCUUAGAUGAGGUGCUAAGUGCAUUAAACACCUUAGCAACUCAACUCUCCAAUGCAUAGGUGAUUGACUUGUUGCUAAGCACACUUUAUUUAAUGAGUUAGCACCUAAAGUCUUUCAUGCAUUGAUCAAAUUGUUUCAUUUAAAUGGUUUUCUAGGUUCUCGUGCUUGGCAUUGGUUCUUCCUGGGAUCACCAAAGUGCUCUCUCCCCUUCUUAAAUGUUUUGGCACAUCAUUUUUUCGCUUAUGUGGCAUGCUUAGCACCUGUUCACGGUGGAGCACUGAGAAGGGCCUUAUACACCGCAAUACGGGAUGGACCCCCCACGUCGCUGUCUCAUUCCUUCUUUCCCACAUCGAGCCCCACCCCCCUCUCUCUCGUUUCCAUGGCGGUCGCUGGUCACCACUGGCUAUGGCCGCUAGAUCUGCCUUCUCCACCAACGUUCGACAUCGGAUCCGGCUUCCGCGAUCGGCACCUACCACUUUGGGACACAAACAAGACCGGUGGUGGCGCGACUGUACCACGAGGUCGGAUCCAUUGACGUCGGCGUCGGGGAGACCUGCUCCGGCAAGGUUCCUCGAUCCCGCCCACCACAAGCCCGUCCAUCGACAGCCGUUCUCGCCGUUGGUGGCUCCGUGCAGCACGGGCACCACGACAGCGCACCGCACAGAGUUGUCGUCGGAUCUGGCGACUCCAAGUUUGACCGCCAUUGGAUCUGAUCAUCGGCCUCCUGCCUCUUCAGUUUCAGAUAUUUGAAUGUUUGUGACAGAGGGCAUGUGUUACUCUUUUCUGAAAGAGAACCAAGAGUGAAUCUAUUUUAAACAAGUUACGUGUGGAGUUGAGUUCUGCAAUAUAUGUGAAAUUUAUAUUUCAAUCUGUAACUUGUUAUUUCAGUGAGACAUGUAUUGAAAUAGAUGUUUCAAUAUAAAUUGAGAUAGUUUGUGCCA